UUGCUCCUGGGUGACGAGCGGCGGACGGGUGAGUAAUGUCUGGGAAACUGCCUGAUGGAGGGGGAUAACUACUGGAAACGGUAGCUAAUACCGCAUAACGUCGCAAGACCAAAGAGGGGGACCUUCGGGCCUCUUGCCAUCAGAUGUGCCCAGAUGGGAUUAGCUAGUAGGUGGGGUAAUGGCUCACCUAGGCGACGAUCCCUAGCUGGUCUGAGAGGAUGACCAGCCACACUGGAACUGAGACACGGUCCAGACUCCUACGGGAGGCAGCAGUGGGGAAUAUUGCACAAUGGGCGCAAGCCUGAUGCAGCCAUGCCGCGUGUAUGAAGAAGGCCUUCGGGUUGUAAAGUACUUUCAGCGAGGAGGAAGGCAUUAAGGUUAAUAACCUUGGUGAUUGACGUUACUCGCAGAAGAAGCACCGGCUAACUCCGUGCCAGCAGCCGCGGUAAUACGGAGGGUGCAAGCGUUAAUCGGAAUUACUGGGCGUAAAGCGCACGCAGGCGGUCUGUCAAGUCGGAUGUGAAAUCCCCGGGCUCAACCUGGGAACUGCAUUCGAAACUGGCAGGCUAGAGUCUUGUAGAGGGGGGUAGAAUUCCAGGUGUAGCGGUGAAAUGCGUAGAGAUCUGGAGGAAUACCGGUGGCGAAGGCGGCCCCCUGGACAAAGACUGACGCUCAGGU
rnacentral:rRNA from 1 species